rnacentral:tRNA from 1 species
CCCUGGGUAGCUGAGUCAGUAGAGCAUGAGACUCUUAAUCUCAGCAUUUUGGGUUCAAGUCCCACAUUGGGUG